GCUGGCCACGGUGGUACCUGCCUAUAGUCCUAGCUGCUAGUGAGGCUGAGGCGAGAGGAUCACUUGAGCCCAGGAGUUCUAGGCUGCAGUGGGUUAUGCUGAUUGGAUAUCUACACUAAAUUCAGCACUGGUGACCUCCUGGGAGCAGGGGACCAGCAGGUUACCUAAGGAGGACUGAACCAGUCCAGGUCAGAAUGGAGCAGGUCAAAACUCCCACACUGAUCAGUAGUGGGAUCACACCUGUCAAUAGCCACAGUACUCCAGCUUGGGCAACAGCGAGACCCAUCUC
rnacentral:SRP_RNA from 10 species